rnacentral:rRNA from 1 species
UACGAAGGGGGCUAGCGUUGCUCGGAAUUACUGGGCGUAAAGCGCACGUAGGCGGUUUCUUAAGUCGGGGGUGAAAUCCUGGAGCUCAACUCCAGAACUGCCUUCGAUACUGGGAGACUUGAGUUCGGGAGAGGUGAGUGGAACUGCGAGUGUAGAGGUGAAAUUCGUAGAUAUUCGCAAGAACACCAGUGGCGAAGGCGGCUCACUGGCCCGAUACUGACGCUGAGGUGUGAAAGCGUGGGGAGCAAACAGG